CAGUCCUUGACAACCAACCAAUUCCAACUAAUUCAGUUCCAUCUCAUGAAAAACCACGGUUUUGAUAUUUUGUUGAAUGUGAAGAUGCUGCGGAUGAGAAGUUUAUGAUUUGGUACUCAGGCCAAGAGGAAAAGCAAUUGAGACUAAGCUCAGUUACUGAAGUUAUUUGUGGACAGAAGACUGUAAAUUUUCAGAAGCAACUUCAACCAGACAGGGAGGCACAGUCAUUUACUACAUUGAUUUAGUGCUGCAUUAUUCUGACCAAGUCCAUGCGCUUCAGCUGCCAUUGAGAAGGAUCUAUGGGCAACCUGAACUGUCAAUGAAGAGUAUCUAAAGGCUC